rnacentral:tRNA from 1 species
GCCGCUUUAGCUCAGUUGGUAGAGCAGCUGUCUUGUAAACAGCAGGUCGUCGGUUCAAGUCCGACAAGCGGCUCCG